rnacentral:rRNA from 1 species
GACGAACGCUGGCGGCGUGCUUAACACAUGCAAGUCGAACGAUGAAGCUUGGUGCUUGCACUGGGUGGAUUAGUGGCGAACGGGUGAGUAACACGUGAGUAACCUGCCCUUUACUUCGGGAUAAGCUUGGGAAACUGGGUCUAAUACCGGAUAUUCUGCAUGGUCGGAUGGUUGUGUAGGAAAGAUUUUUUGGUAAGGGAUGGGCUCGCGGCCUAUCAGUUUGUUGGUGGGGUGAUGGCCUACCAAGACGACGACGGGUAGCCGGCCUGAGAGGGCGACCGGCCGCACUGGGACUGAGACACGGCCCAGACUCCUACGGGAGGCAGCAGUGGGGAAUAUUGCACAAUGGGGGAAACCCUGAUGCAGCGACGCCGCGUGGGGGAUGACGGCCUUCGGGUUGUAAACCUCUUUCAGUAGGGAAGAAGCGAAAGUGACGGUACCUGCAGAAGAAGUACCGGCUAACUACGUGCCAGCAGCCGCGGUAAUACGUAGGGUACUAGCGUUGUCCGGAAUUAUUGGGCGUAAAGAGCUCGUAGGUGGUUUGUCGCGUCUGCUGUGGAAACGUGCCGCUUAACGGUGCGCGUGCAGUGGGUACGGGCGGACUAGAGUGCAGUAGGGGAGUCUGGAAUUCCUGGUGUAGCGGUGAAAUGCGCAGAUAUCAGGAGGAACACCGGUGGCGAAGGCGGGACACUGGGCAGUUACUGACGCUGAGGAGCGAAAGCAUGGGUAGCGAACAGGAUUAGAUACCCUGGUAGUCCAUGCCGUAAACGGUGGGCGCUAGGUGUGAGGGUCUUUUCACGACUUUCGUGCCGUAGCUAACGCAUUAAGCGCCCCGCCUGGGGAGUACGGCCGCAAGGCUAAAACUCAAAGGAAUUGACGGGGGCCCGCACAAGCGGCGGAGCAUGCGGAUUAAUUCGAUGCAACGCGAAGAACCUUACCAAGGCUUGACAUGCACUAGACCAUCGCAGAGAUGUGGUUUUCUUUUUGACUGGUGUACAGGUGGUGCAUGGUUGUCGUCAGCUCGUGUCGUGAGAUGUUGGGUUAAGUCCCGCAACGAGCGCAACCCUCGUUCUAUGUUGCCAGCACGUGAUGGUGGGAACUCAUGGGAGACUGCCGGGGUCAACUCGGAGGAAGGUGGGGAUGACGUCAAAUCAUCAUGCCCUUUAUGUCUUGGGCUUCACGCAUGCUACAAUGGCCGGUACAGAGGGUGGCGAUACCGUGAGGUGGAGCGAAUCUCUUAAAGCCGGCCUUAGUUCGGAUUGGGGUCUGCAACUCGACCCCAUGAAGUCGGAGUCGCUAGUAAUCGCAGAUCAGCAAUGCUGCGGUGAAUACGUUCCCGGGCCUUGUACACACCGCCCGUCACGUCAUGAAAGUUGGUAACACCCGAAGCCGGUGGCCCAAACUUGUUAGGGAGCCGUCGAAGGUGGGAUCGGCGAUUGGGACGAAGUCGUAACAAGGUACCCGUACCGGAAGG